rnacentral:rRNA from 1 species
UACGGAGGAUGCAAGCGUUAUCCGGAAUGAUUGGGCGUAAAGGGUCCGCAGGUGGCGAUGUAAGUCUGCUGUCAAAGAAUGAGGCUUAACCUCACCAAGGCAGUGGAAACUACAUAGCUAGAGUACGGUCGGGGUAGAAGGAAUUCCUGGUGUAGCGGUGAAAUGCGUAGAGAUCAGGAAGAACACCAAUGGCGAAGGCAGCUCUCUGGGACGGUACUGACGCUGAGACGCGAAAGCGUGGGGAGCGAACAGG